GAGCUCACUCCAGCAGCUCAUAUACUAAGCUUGGAAUGAUACAGAGAUUAGCGCGGCCCCUGCACAAGGAGGACACGCAAAUUCGUGAAGCGUUCCAUACUUAA
rfam:Myotis davidii contig131302, whole genome shotgun sequence.